UACGUAGGGUGCAAGCGUUGUCCGGAAUUAUUGGGCGUAAAGGGCUCGUAGGCGGCCAACUAAGUCAGACGUGAAAUCCCUCAGCUUAACUGGGGAACUGCGUCUGAUACUGGAUGGCUUGGAUUCGGGAGAGGAAUGCGGAAUUCCAGGUGUAGCGGUGAAAUGCGUAGAUAUCUGGAGGAACACCGGUGGCGAAGGCGGCAUUCUGGACCGACAUUGACGCUGAGGAGCGAAAGCCAGGGGAGCAAACGGG
rnacentral:rRNA from 1 species